GACGAACGCUGGCGGCGUGCUUAACACAUGCAAGUCGAGCGGAGCGGCGAACGGGUGAGUAACGCGUGAGUAACUGCCCCCCUCUCUGGGAUCACAGUUGGAAACGGUAGCUAAUACCGGAUAGUGGGGGAUGACUCGCGUCCUAUCAGAUUGUUGGUGGGGUAGUGGCCUACGAAGUCGACGACGGGUAGCCGGCCUGAGAGGGAGACCGGCCACAAGGGGCUGAGAUACGGCCCAAACUCCUACGGGAGGCAGCGGUGGGGAAUAUUGCACAAUGGGGGAAACCCUGAUGCAGCAACGCGCGUGCGGAAUGACGGCCUUCGGGUUGUAAACCGCUUUCAGCCAUGACGCGGUAGUGGCAGAAGAAGCACCGGCUAACUACGUGCCAGCAGCCGCGGUAAUUC
rnacentral:rRNA from 1 species